rnacentral:sRNA from 1 species
GGGAUCCUGAGGCUGACCGGUAUUUCAGAAGUACCCUUUUCAGCCCCCUUAUUGCUGGUAGUAGGUGGGGAUAGCAAAGGUAGGGAGGGCCGUGGGACAAGCCCCUGGAUUGAAUGUUUCUGGCCUUCGGCAGUCUGGGAUGUGGCAUUGGCUAUGGGUAUCUACACCGGAUCCCAACUCAGCCCCCCAGCUACCACAAGAAGCCACCUGGCACCCCACCACCUUCUGCUCUACCACUUGGUGCCCCACCACCUGAUGCUCUACCACCUGGACCCACCCCCGAGGACUCUCCUUCCCUGGAGACAGGUUCCAGGCAGAGUGACUACAUGGAGGCCCUGCUGCAGGCACCUGGCUCCUCCAUGGAGGAUCCCCUUCCUGGGCCUGGGAGUCCCAGCCACAGU